GACGAACGCUGGCGGCGUGCCUAAUACAUGCAAGUCGAGCGAGCGGAACUAACAGAUUUACUUCGGUAAUGACGUUAGGAAAGCGAGCGGCGGAUGGGUGAGUAACACGUGGGGAACCUGCCCCAUAGUCUGGGAUACCACUUGGAAACAGGUGCUAAUACCGGAUAAGAAAGCAGAUCGCAUGAUCAGCUUUUAAAAGGCGGCGUAAGCUGUCGCUAUGGGAUGGCCCCGCGGUGCAUUAGCUAGUUGGUAAGGUAAAGGCUUACCAAGGCGAUGAUGCAUAGCCGAGUUGAGAGACUGAUCGGCCACAUUGGGACUGAGACACGGCCCAAACUCCUACGGGAGGCAGCAGUAGGGAAUCUUCCACAAUGGACGCAAGUCUGAUGGAGCAACGCCGCGUGAGUGAAGAAGGUUUUCGGAUCGUAAAGCUCUGUUGUUGGUGAAGAAGGAUAGAGGUAGUAACUGGCCUUUAUUUGACGGUAAUCAACCAGAAAGUCACGGCUAACUACGUGCCAGCAGCCGCGGUAAUACGUAGGUGGCAAGCGUUGUCCGGAUUUAUUGGGCGUAAAGCGAGCGCAGGCGGAAGAAUAAGUCUGAUGUGAAAGCCCUCGGCUUAACCGAGGAACUGCAUCGGAAACUGUUUUUCUUGAGUGCAGAAGAGGAGAGUGGAACUCCAUGUGUAGCGGUGGAAUGCGUAGAUAUAUGGAAGAACACCAGUGGCGAAGGCGGCUCUCUGGUCUGCAACUGACGCUGAGGCUCGAAAGCAUGGGUAGCGAACAGGAUUAGAUACCCUGGUAGUCCAUGCCGUAAACGAUGAGUGCUAAGUGUUGGGAGGUUUCCGCCUCUCAGUGCUGCAGCUAACGCAUUAAGCACUCCGCCUGGGGAGUACGACCGCAAGGUUGAAACUCAAAGGAAUUGACGGGGGCCCGCACAAGCGGUGGAGCAUGUGGUUUAAUUCGAAGCAACGCGAAGGACCUUACCAGGUCUUGACAUCUAGUGCCAUUUGUAGAGAUACAAAGUUCCCUUCGGGGACGCUAAGACAGGUGGUGCAUGGCUGUCGUCAGCUCGUGUCGUGAGAUGUUGGGUUAAGUCCCGCAACGAGCGCAACCCUUGUUAUUAGUUGCCAGCAUUAAGUUGGGCACUCUAAUGAGACUGCCGGUGACAAACCGGAGGAAGGUGGGGAUGACGUCAAGUCAUCAUGCCCCUUAUGACCUGGGCUACACACGUGCUACAAUGGGCAGUACAACGAGAAGCGAGCCUGCGAAGGCAAGCGAAUCUCUGAAAGCUGUUCUCAGUUCGGACUGCAGUCUGCAACUCGACUGCACGAAGCUGGAAUCGCUAGUAAUCGCGGAUCAGCACGCCGCGGUGAAUACGUUCCCGGGCCU
rnacentral:rRNA from 1 species